GUAGGCACAGGGUGCCGAACGGUAGGCUCAGAGGUCAAAUCUGUGAUAGCAGAGCUCUGUGGCCAUGCUUAUGAGGUACCAGAUAUGUAACCUCAAAUAUAGAUCAUGUAUCGGUAGCAGUACUGCGAACUCUGUAUGUUUAUAUGGCAUGCCAUACCCUUAUACUAACCUCGACUCCUAUUACGUUUACCAGGGCCAAGCACUAUUAAUUCAAUGUAUCAAUGUAAAAUGCAUACCAUUUGAAGCUAUUUGAAUUCAUUUUCCAAGUUACAUAUAUCAUAUGCCAAGAUUUACAAUAUGGAAAACUCAUGGCAAAUAGUGCAAAACUUUAUUGACUUAGCAUUUUAAUGUAGAAAACUACAUUCUGCCAUAUAUUGCAUCAACUUUUCAAGUAGUGUAGAGUUAUAAUGUAACUUCAGUUUCUUCAUAAGAAAUGUACAUUUAUGUCUUAUCUUUCCAACAAGGUAUGAUUCAUGCAAUUCUGAUCAUCCUAACUUAAGUUAUGAAUUUUUCUUUACAAGCUGCUCAAUCAGGUCUUAAUCAGUCCAGUAUUAGUACCUGUUUAUAGUAUCACAAAAAUUAUCAGAUUCAUAUAUUUCCAUACAAAUUAAAGCUUAAGUGUCUUCUACAAAAUUUUAGGUAUACUUCUUAGGAUUCAUUUGGCACUGGUCUUAACAAAUUUCACUGAGUACGUAGUUAGUUAUGGUAUAAUCAAUACACACUGUUCCGGAUGCAUUAACUCUGUCCAGUUUAGGUUCACUUGAAAUUUUCAUCAUCUUACCUACAGAUUCAGAAUUUGUUCAAUUCAUAAAAGUUUUAGAUCUUUGUCUCAGCUUUCAUUUGGUAUAUCUUAGGCCUAAUUUCAAUAUAUACACAAUAAGUUAUGAGGUUGUAAACACAAGCUGCCCUGUUACAACCUAUUCUGCCAGAUUUACACUUUUAGCUCUCAUGUUAAAUUUCUUUACUCUAAGCCUUUCAAACAUCAUUUUAACAUCUAUAUAACAUCUUUAUACACUUAAAGCAACAUUUACAGCAAGUAAAAUCAACCCCUAAUUUCACUUAUUCAUGGCAAAAUCAAAGGAAAACAGAAAAUCAAAGAAACACCAAACCUUUCUUGGAUUUCUUCUUUCUUUUCCUCUUCUAAUCUCUAGCUAUCUCCUUUCCCUUUGAUGUUCCUUCACCUAGGUAGAUUUAUGUCUUAGGAAAGGAGUGAAUAAACUAUAAAUUAAAGCUCUAUAAUGAAAAUUCAUGCAUGAAGAAAUAAGAAGAUGUUAUUUCCUUCACCUUUCUAAGCUUACCUUGGAUUUUCAAGCUUGGUGUAUAUGGAACCCUAAACCUUUCUUCUUCAAUUCUUUCACUAUAUGGCUGUUCCUUUAGCUCUUGAUCUUAGGAUAGAUUUUGGUUAAAGGAAGAAGUUGUUUUGGUGAGGUUUGGCUUGGCUUUGGUGGNNN
rnacentral:lncRNA from 1 species